UGGGGAAUAUUGGACAAUGGGCGAAAGCCUGAUCCAGCCAUGCCGCGUGUGUGAAGAAGGUCUUCGGAUUGUAAAGCACUUUAAGUUGGGAGGAAGGGUUGUAGAUUAAUACUCUGCAAUUUUGACGUUACCGACAGAAUAAGCACCGGCUAACUCUGUGCCAGCAGCCGCGGUAAUACAGCGGGUGCAAGCGUUAAUCGGAAUUACUGGGCGUAAAGCGCGCGUAGGUGGAUAGUUAAGUUGGAUGUGAAAGCCCCGGGCUCAACCUGGGAACUGCAUUCAAAACUGACUGACUAGAGUAUGGUAGAGGGUGGUGGAAUUUCCUGUGUAGCGGUGAAAUGCGUAGAUAUAGGAAGGAACACCAGUGGCGAAGGCGACCACCUGGACUGAUACUGACACUGAGAUGCGAAAGCGUGGGGAGCAAACA
rnacentral:rRNA from 1 species